GACGAACGCUGGCGGCGUGCUUAACACAUGCAAGUCGAACGGAAAGGCCCUGCUUUUGUGGGGUGCUCGAGUGGCGAACGGGUGAGUAACACGUGAGUAACCUGCCCUUGACUUUGGGAUAACUUCAGGAAACUGGGGCUAAUACCGGAUAGGAGCUCCUGCUGCAUGGUGGGGGUUGGAAAGUUUCGGCGGUUGGGGAUGGACUCGCGGCUUAUCAGCUUGUUGGUGGGGUAGUGGCUUACCAAGGCUUUGACGGGUAGCCGGCCUGAGAGGGUGACCGGCAACAUUGGGACUCAGAUAGGGACCAGAAUACUAAGGGAGGCAGCAGUGGGGAACAUUGCACAAUGGGCGGACGCCUGAUGCAGCAACGCUGCGUGCGGGAUGACGGCCUUCGGGUUGUAAACCGUUUUCGCCUGUGACGAAGCGUGCGUGACGGUACUGGGUAAAGAAGCACCGGCUAACUACGUG
rnacentral:rRNA from 1 species